AUACUUUCUUGGCAGGGAAGAGACCAUGACCAAGAAGGAGGUUCACCCAUGCAGGGCCCAAUCUUUGCACCCCGCUGGGCUGACUUAUGCUCAAUUGCAUAUUUCUGUGCUGUGGGGGACUGCUUUUGUGCUGUCUCCUG
rnacentral:snRNA from 1 species